ACUUAACUUACUUCAUCUGAAAUUUCAACUCCAAUUUUGAUUUAAGCAGUGCUUUUUUUCAAUACAAGGUUUGUGUAUUUUGUCUAGAAGCACCACAUCUCAGAUUUCAGUCAAAUGUGGUUUUCAAUGGGUUUAUUUUUUCCUUCCACAUAGAAACUAAACCUUGUAACAUUUUUACUAAACUAUUUUUUUAAAAUGACUCUCAAGGGCUGGAGAGAUGGCUCCCUGGUUAAGAGCACUGAGUACUCUUCCAGAGGCCCUGAGCUCAAUUCCCAGCAACCACACUGUGGCUCAUAAACCAUCUGUAUUGGGAUAUGAUGGCAAAAAAAAAAAAAAAAAAAAAAAGACUCGCAAGCAGUUUCAGACCUGUAAAAACUUAAAAAUUUCAACAUUUGAAAUUGUACUUAGUGGUAAAUACAUUGAAUCUAGUUUAUAAGCGUAAUUCAACACAAAAUAGUUACAUAAUCUAUAAAUAUAGAAUUUCCAAAAAAUAAGAUUCACCUGGGGAAGAUCUUAUAAGAUGGAUGCAUGGUACCUGAGCACAGGUAACCAGCUAUGUGGCAGAGUGUAGGCUAGAAUAAAUGGGAUAUAAUCUAGUUAAGAGAUGAGCCUACCUGUAUGGUCAAGGUAUUUGUAAAUUUAUUUUGAGUCUGAGUCUUAUAACUGGGAGCAUGGGGCUGGAAGGAAGAACUGGACCAAACUUCUGUGAUGCUGUUAUGAACCCCGAAAACUAAAUGUAAAAAUUAAUGGGAGUGUCUGCAGACCCACGGCCUCCUUCUGUAUGUCUGCCCACUGUCUGGAGAGGAAUAACUGAUAAAAUAAGUGUUUAGUCAUAGUCUGACCUUAAGAAAAAUGUUAAAAAUAAUAAAACUCCUGUCUCUUUGUGGCCUAUGUAAAAUGCUUAAGAUUUAGCUGACUUCAGACUCACCAGAAGAGGGCAUCAGAUCUCAUGAUGUGUGGUUGUGAGCAACCAUGUGAUUGCUGAAAUUUGAACUCAGGAUCUUAGGAAGAGCAGUCUUGCCCACUGAACCAUCUCACCAGUCCCAAUGCUUAAGUUUUUAAUAUAAAAAUAAGCUUUUAACUAUUUCUAUCUUAGAAUAACCUUGACUUUAGUACAAAACUACCAUCUAAAAUCCUUUCUCAUGGGAAAGCUUUUGAAAAUUUAAUCAUUAUUAGAUAUAUACACUAUAUAACUUUUAUAUGCAUUAUCUUGAUUAAAAUAUUUUAAAUUAUG
rnacentral:lncRNA from 1 species